rnacentral:rRNA from 1 species
GUCCAGGGCUACACACAUGCGACAAUGGUCGAGACAACGCGUUGCAAACCAGUAAUGGGUAAGCUAAUCGCAUAAAUCGACCUCAGUACGGAUUGAGGGUUGCAAUUCACCCUCAUGAAGCUGGAGUUGCUAGUAACCGCAGGUCAGCUAUACUGCGAUGAAUACGUUCCCGGGGCUU